UUACGCUUACGUUCAGUGAUUCGCGCGGGAUUCAGUGACUCGAAUAUCGGGUGACGAAUACUUGGUUAAUCGGAUACGUACUUGGCGUGAUCGAUCUAUUCGGUUGUGGGAAUCGAAGCGGCACGCGACGGGAGUACCGAACUUGGAUCGCAUCGCGUACUUUUGCGCGAUCCGUUUGAUUUCAAUUGAUCGUUUGAAAUACGCGUGUAUAGAGCCUCGCGAACAAUUAACGAGAGUGUCGUGUAAAGUGGCGUCGGGGUGAAUUUGUGUCGGACAUUAUCGAGAGAGCUGACAACCCGAGAGGUCAACCUGAGAGGAGGAGGAGGCCUAGGAGAGGCAUCGGGCAUCGGCGUACACCAACGUUUCUGAAAAUAUCCGCGCGGGAAGGAGUAUCUUCGCAUCGAGGGAACAGUAGCUGCCUGAGAGGAGGUGGAGGCCUAGGAGAAGCAUCAGGCGCCGGCGGAGCAACAUGCGAAUCAUCGUAGCGACGUUGCAGAAUAACUCCGCCGUUGCGCAUCGGUCGGUGAGUGAUAAUUAAAAUUUUAUGAUUAAGGUAACGGAUUUAUGACAAUUACGUCAAAUAUAUUGCAGAGACGCUAUGUCAAGUUAUUACAAAAAAUUAUUACAUAUAUUACGUUUCAUAAAUUCGUUAACUUAAAAUGGAAUGACUGUGUCAGAUUAGGAUUUAACAUUUAAUCCUGAUGGAUAAAUCACAUAAAUUGAUUUAUCGUACAUUCUGUCAUUGUAAAUUCUAUCCCAAAUAUCUUUCAGGAUUAAGUGUUACAUAAAUUGGUGCAAGAAUACAAUAUAUACACUUAGGCUACGGUCAA